AACGUAGGAGGCGAGCGUUUAUCCGGAGUUACUGGGCGUAAAGAGCGUGUAGGCGGGUACGCAAGUUUGGCGUGAAAGCUCCCGGCUAAACUGGGAGAGUGCGCUGAAGACUGCGUGUCUAGAGGCGAGUAGAGGGACGUGGAAUUCCGGGUGUAGUGGUGAAAUGGCGUAGAGAUCCGGAGGAACACCAGUGGCGAAGGCGACGUCCUGGGCUUGACCUGACGCUGAGACGCGACAGCACGGGGAGCGAACGGG
rnacentral:rRNA from 1 species